rnacentral:tRNA from 1 species
GGAGGAGUACCCAAGCGGCCGAAGGGGGCGGUCUCGAAAACCGCUAGGGCGUCGAAUGGCGUCGCGGGGGUUCGAAUCCCCCCUCCUCCG